AGAGUUUGAUCAUGGCUCAGAGCGAACGCUGGCGGCAGGCCUAACACAUGCAAGUCGAACGAACCCUUCGGGGUUAGUGGCGGACGGGUGAGUAACACGUGGGAACGUACCUUUAGGUUCGGAACAACACAGGGAAACUUGUGCUAAUGCCGAAUGUGCCCUUCGGGGGAAAGAUUUAUCGCCUUUAGAGCGGCCCGCGUCUGAUUAGCUUGUUGGUGAGGUAAAAGGGCUCACCAAGGCUUCGAUCAGUAGCUGGUCUGAGAGGAUGAUCAGCCACACUGGGACUGAGACACGGCCCAGACUCCUACGGGAGGCAGCAGUGGGGAAUCUUGCGCAAUGGGCGAAAGCCUGACGCAGCCAUGCCGCGUGAAUGAUGAAGGUCUUAGGAUUGUAAAAUUCUUUCACCGGGGAAGAUAAUGACGGUACCCGGAGAAGAAGCCCCGGCUAACUUCGUG
rnacentral:rRNA from 1 species